ensembl:lncRNA
GUAAGAUGUCCUAAGCACUAUCAGACCCUGCAUUCUGAUUCUUGCUAUUAGAAUUCUGGUGACUUCUGAUAUAUCUAUGCAAAUUCCUCAUUUCAAGAUGAGAUGAUUGAAGUCCAGAAAAUUGGGGAUGGGGGAGAAAGACUUCCCAGUCGUAGGGAGUAUGGUAUGACCUGGGAGGAUGAAGGUCAGGCCUUACACUAUUUCACCUAGGCCCCAGACAAGGGAAGGGAAGGAGGCAGAUGUGACGAGCAUCAAGAGGGGACCUGCCUUGGGCCACGCACAUCUGAGGGCCUGCUUUGACCUGCCUGCAGCACCCUGUUCUUCCCUGCAGGGCAGUGAGUCUACAGAGCCAACACGUGCAUGCCCAGGGUCCCCCCUUCUAGAUCCUGCUUGAAAUAACCUGGGAUCCAGGGAUCAUCUGUCCAGUCGGCCUUAGGUCUGCUUCCACAGUCUGUCCGCUCAGGGUGAACUGGGCCACCCAACAUGGGCACAAGAGAUGGCCAAGGGGUAGCUGUGUGUGGGAAGUGUGGACACAGCCUAGAUGUGUGGGUUGGUGGGGGUGCUAUUUGCACGCAUGUGAGACCCCUUAAGUUAUAAGAAAGCACUGGGGAGAGAAGAGAAGGGGUUGUGGUGGGCCAGAAAGUGGGGGCUGUUUCCCAGAGCCAUCACACUCAAGGCAUCCAAGGAUAUGAAAUUCACAUCUUCCUAGGUCAUUAUGAAGGUAUAUUUGUCAAAGCAGGAGGAUGUGCUAAUGAUUUCUAAGCUUGAUUUAUAACUUAAAUAUUUAGACCUACAGUAUUUGAGCUUCCUUUUGUAUUCUUGCCCAGGCCUUACUAGCACUUGGAGAGGGGUUCAGCUGGGGGGAGCUUAGGGUGCCCUCAGUGAAGGGUGGGAGGAGAAGCCCACCAUCUGAAGGAAAAGGCUCAAUAAGUGGUGCUAGUCAAGUAAAAAUGGUUUUGCUUUUUUAUGUCUGGGCAGGAGCAGGAUGGGUGGAAGCCAGCCACAGGAGAGGGCGUGACACUGCAAAGAGGGAUGAGAUGAGGUGGCCUAGCUUGGGCACAGGGGUUGGGAGGCUGGACUCUUGUCUCCUGGAGGAGUGAGGGGAUGAAGGAACUGGUUUUGGAGGGAAGAGAGGUGGCAGGGAUCAGAUGAAGUCAGAAAGGCCGUUUGCAUUUGGGAUGUGUCCUUCCUUUGCCUUGCUGAGUAAAUCGCCAAUUUUUCCAUCCCUCUUCUGCUACUCAGCAGAAUCCCCAGCCCAGAUGGGUUUUUUAGUUUCUUACUCUGAGGGUCAACCCAUGAGCCUGUGUGCUAGGUGGAGCCCUGGCCCUGGCUGGUGUAUGCAGUGGGGAAAGCUCAAGGAGACACGGCCUCUGGCUCCUGGGAGCCGAGAGAUGCUGAGGCAGAGCAAGGGCCUCCGGGGGUUGGGGUGGGGGCGUGGAGGUGAGAGUGGGGAAAGGGCCAGGCAUGGGAGCUGCUGGAUGUUACCAUCCCUUAACUACUUGUAAAGUUCUUCAGGUGAGGCAUGAAUGCUGGGCUAUAACCCUAGGAGACAAGGGGGCCUCGUGUGGCUCAGUCUCUGAAGUGAACACUGUUCCAAACAGCCUAGCCUUCCCAUCAAACAACAAUAAAAGAGGCAUGCUCCUCUUCGCUCUCUUGAAGUACGUCUAGAUUGCAUUUAGGAUUCAUGGCAAUUCUUCUCAGAAGCUCCUUCUUUAUUCUGCCCAUUUGUCUCCUGCCCAGAAGCCUGUUCCAGCACCCAUCCUUCCACUUCUCUGGUGUUGCUGCUGUCAGCUCUGAUCCUAGCAACCCCAGGUUUGGGCCAUGGGUCCCCCUUGCCCAGCCACUUCUAGCCUAAGGACUGUUCUGGCUUUAGGACCUGAGGGUAGAAGCCUCGCUAUCAAUGCAAUCCAUUCCUGAUAGUCAGUCCCUGAGCUGUCACUGGGCGAGGCCUGCCACGGGCUGCUUUGGGGGGUGGGAAGGAGAGUGGUCCAUGGUUCCCGCCCUGGAGGACCUCACUGUGUAUCAGCAUUGUGCUCAGCUAUUUAAACCUCACAAUAGCACCACGAGGUAGGCAUUAGGUCGUUAAACCUUUGCAGUAUGUCCGUGAGAUUAAACGUGUUUCUUAUCCCCAGUGUACAGACCAAGGGAGUGAGGCUCAACAGAUAUUGAUUAACACAGGCAAGGCCAGAUUCCCCCAGAUCAUGCCCCUGCCCUAGACCUGGCUGCCUCUCAAUAACCAUCAAUAGAUGAUAUGUCCCAGGCCAGUCUAGAGCCAAUCGCUGGACUGACUGCCAGGGGUGACUCUGAUAAGAGGAGUAUGGUGGCUGGAUGGUGAACCAUUGAGUGCUUCCCCAACUGCAGAACCUCAGUUUCCACCUCUGUGAAAUAAAGCUAUAGCUGCAUCCACCUCCCAAGCUGUAGGGAGGUGUUGAAGACUUGAGAGCCGAGGAGCAAUGCUACCAGGGCCUGGCCCAGGGAGGCUGCCAAGAAUGUUAGCUGAAUGGAAGAGGCGCUGACAGAGUGGCCAACACAGCAGCGGAAGCACAUGCUUUGUCCAAAAGAAACAGACCCCGGGGCGGGAGGCAUGCGGGGGCAGCUCUAAACGAGAGAGGGAAAGGAAGAGAAUCUCAGAGUGGGGUGAAGAAAAGGGGAACGAGCAGGGCGUGGGGAGGCCUCAGCGUGGGCUCUGGGGAAGGCCCGGGCCCUGGGCAGGGCAGAGCCUACGGAGUUAAUGGUUAAUGUUGAACCUUGUACCACCCAGUCCUCUCUGAAGCCCAAACCUGCAAAUUACCUCAAUUUCUCCCUCUCGUUCCCUACUUGCAUUUGCUUAGGUCCAGAAGUCCUACAAAUGGUAUCUUCAAGGAGUCUGAAGUCCAUCCUCUCUAGUACACCUUAAUCCUGGCCUGUCUGUCUGUCUCUUGGAUUCCUACAAUGGUUAGAGAAAGGUGUGGGCUCACGAAAACAUCCGCUCAUUGACUCGCUCCUGAAUACACUUGCUGAAGUCCCAGGGCUUCAAAUACCAUCCAUAUGUUGAUGACUCUCAGCUACAUAUCCGACCCAGACACCCCCAACAGCCCCCCAAAGCAACCUGCUUUCUAUGUAAAUGGCACCACUCAGCUGCUCAAGCCAGCACCAUGGGCCCUCUUUACUGAGCUCUCCCGCUUGUUCCCCAGGUCUGAGACUGCAGCACAUUCUACUGACCUGACUCUGAAAACCCACCUCGAAUCUGACACCAUGUAUGCCAUUCUCCCUGUAGUCCGAGCACAUCACCCUUCACCUGGGCGACUGCAGCAGCCUCUUAACUGGCCUCCCUGCCUCGGGUGCAGGCCCCAGUCUGUUUCUUUGAAACGGGCACAGGGAUCGUGAUGGGCAUGCAUCUGGUUGCGCCUCUCAUCUGUCUAAAUAAUCUCAUUGCCUCCAUCAGCCAGGCUGAGAAGACCCUUCACCCUGUCAUGCCUCUGGACCUUUGAACCUGCUGUUCUCUCUGCUGGAGAUUUCCCCCUAAACCUCCAUUUCUUCCCUUUACUUUCCCUAAAAGAAUCCUCCUUAGGUUCAGAAGAACUUUCCCCACCUACACUCAGCACUGGACACGGCCCCGCCCCUGCUGCUGCUGCUGCUGCUAAGUCGCUUCAGUUGUGUCCGACUCUGUGCGACCCCAUAAUUGGCAGCCCACCAGGCUCCAUCGUCCCUGGGAUUCUCUAGGCAAGAACACUGGAGUGGGUUGCCAUUUCCUUCUCCAAUGCAUGAAAGUGAAAAGUGAAAGUGAGGUCGCUCAGUCGUAUCGGACUCUUCGCGACCCCAUGGACUGUAGCCUACCAGGCUUUUCUGUCCAUGGGAUUUUCCAGGCAACAGUACUGGAGUGGGAUGCCAUCGCCUUCUCCGGGCCCCGCCCCUAGCUCCAGGCAAAUGUGGAUUGGCCUGGGCAAUCAUGGUGGCCCUACCCGCCCCCACUUGCCAGUGAUUGGUUUAGGAAUGGCCACGAGACCCACUUUCUACCAAGGGAAGGAAACCUACUGGGGUGCUUUGAGAGGGGAAGGAUCUUUCGUGCUCUCCUGGAUGCCCUUGUUGUAUGUAAUUGGGAUGCGGAUACUGGAACCACUUCAGCCUUGUGGCCACAAGACCCUUCUCUGUGAGCACAGUUGACACACCAGGAAGGCCAAAUGGGAAGAGAUUAUUUGAAGAAAUGGAGCUGAGGAACAUUAUUUGAAGAAGUGGAGCUGAGGACUGCACUGGGUCUGGACCUGUCUGCCUCUGCCUUCUCAUGUGAGAUGAUGUCUCUUUAGCUGGAACUUGACUAGGGACUUUGUGUCACUUGUAGCCAUAUGCAGAUACACACCAUCAACAUGUCACUCCUACUCCUGGAGGUUGUGGUAGAUUUGGGCUCAGAGUCAAUUCACAGAGUGACAGCUGCUUCUAGGGUUGAUGCAGCUGUGGACCACAUUAAUAGAAAGUAGGGUCCAGGCCGAGGGAGAUGAGGGUUCCCUACUCCUCUGUAUUGCCCAGACUCCACCUGGAGAAGCUGUGGUCAAUUCCAGGAGGGAGCUUGACCCAGUGGGGCCCCUCUACUGAGAACAAUACCAUUUGGAAAGUUUGGGAAUCCUGUCAGACAAUGGACAUGUAAGAAAAUGGGGGUUUUAGCCUGGCAAAGGGAAGGCUCCGUGGGUGGCCUCAUUAAUCUCUUGAAGCUGUGUGUGUGGGGCAGCUGAAUGGAGGAGAGACCAGCCUCGUUUGCGCUACUACAGACCACCAAGAGGAAGAGAAUGACAGCGUAAAGAAGUCUGAUAACAAUUUAGGGCAAACUCAGACUUGCUGGGCAUUGUUCUCACCUCAGGAACUUAGUAAAACCACAGGCCCAGUCCUUGUCUUUCAGUGAGUCCCAGACUGAGUUCUUAGCACUCCAGCGGCUUGUGAUACACACCAGCACUGGGCGACCCCUGACUUAGGAAGGAAGUCAACAUUUGCAGGGCACCUAAGAUGAGUCAGGUGCUGAGCUGGGUCCACCACUGUGUCUUCCAUUCGAUUGGGACACAAAUCCUUAGAGUCAAGCAUUGUUGUUACAGUCAUGAGUUCCCCACAAGCAGCAUCACUAAAAAUGAGAAUAACUAAUGCAAUAGCAAUAGAGACUACGAAAAGAUAAUUCUGAGGUGAAGAACUGAAAAGGGGAAGAGCUCUUAUACAUUCACAGUGAGAUACACAAAGACUCACAGUGAGAUACACAAAGGUUUGUGUACUCCUCCAGUGUGGCAGAGAUCACAGGCUGUUCUCCAGUUUACCUUCCCUUCUUCCAUAGGAGCAGAGCCCUUGACUUUUGGCUAGGCACGUGGUCAUCUAGAAUAAAGACAUUCCAUAGUCUCCCAUCUAAGUGAGGCCAUGUGCCCAAGUUCUGGCCAAUGAGAAGUAGCAGAUUCCAGGAACCUCCUGAAAAGACAAGUGGUAGGUGCUUUUUGUCUUUAUCCCUUCUUCCUGUGACUGGAAGACAGGACUUGAUGGUUGGAGCACCAGCAGCUAUACUGGACUGAGAAGAGACCUUGGGAACAGAGAUCAUACACAGGGAAGUAAUAGGAGAAGGAGCUUGAGUGAUUGACACUGUGGAGUAGAGCGACCAUGCCAUUUCUCAACUAUCAGCCUCAAAGUUUUACUUGAGCAACACAUUUCUGGCUUAGGUCUCUGUUACUUGUACCCGUGCCUAAUCCUAACUGAUAAAAUGACAAUAAACUGUCACUUUUCACUUAUGAUAUUGAUAAGAAUUAAAAGAUGAUUAUAUCAUUGGAGACAGUGUAGUCUUGUGGUUCAUGUCCCACCUGGGUUGGAUUCCUGCCUUGGAUUUACCAGCUAUGGAAAUCUGGAUGAAUUAUGUAAUCUCUGUGCCCCAUGCCCUUUUCAGGUUCCUUACGUGAAACAAAUGAUUGUCAAAAAAAACCAAAAAACCAAACACAGUAUUAGUGAGUAUUGUGGGAAAUAAAUUCUUAGAAAAGGUACUAAUGCACCUGCCCUUAAAAUUCCUACUUAGCUAUCACAUCUGCUGUUGACUGGGGCAGAGGUGGUGUAAAAUGUAGAGAGCCAUUCCAGAAGGCUCUUGGUUGCAUCUAUUAAAACUUGGCUCUAAUGGAGCAAUUCUGCCUCUAGGAAGUGGAAAUCCUUGGGGCCAGAUAUGUUCCAGAUUUUAAGAAGGUAAUUUGGUGCUUAUGCCACAUUCUUCAUCCCUCUCCCACAGGGUCUGGAGGUGUCCCAUGCUGGGGUCUUCAGUUCCACUUCUGAUUUCAGCCUCGUGCGCACAGGUCCCACCUCAAGUGUGGCUGGGAAGUUCCGGAGAGUGGAAGCUCCUUGGGGCAACCCUCGGCUAGGGCCCAGGGGCAGGUGGAUAAGUGCCUAGAAGACUCCAUCUUUCAGGUGAAUACUCCAGGCUACUCAUGAAGUCCCAGAGGACUGACCGCCCCUCUGCAGCUACCUCGACAGUGACCCUUGUUUUGGCUUCUCCCUGUCCCUAUCUUACUCUCCCCAGUCCCUAGUUCCUGCUUCCUGGCAUCACCUUCCAAAUAAACCACCAGCACCCAAGUCCUGUCUCUGGCUCUGCUUUUAGGGAGCCCAGCCCAGAAUAAUCCCUUAAUGAAACACUUUUUAAUAUUUCUUCAGCAAGCUCCAUGCAUAUUCACAGUGAGAUACACAAAGACUCAAACUAGCCUCACAUCGAUUUGGGUCAGGUUUGCUGCCAUCUAGGUAAAGAGAAGGUCUUCUGAGCACCGGAAUUUUAUGGCUGCUGAUAAGAGCCCAGCCUGGUACACGGAGGUGCACCCUCUCAUGCUUGCUUAAGUCAGUGUGAGUGGGGAACGUCUUGGUGCCAUGGACUGCUCCCAGAAGUCCCCAAGGACACAAGAGUGACCAGGCUGUUGAGGGUUGCCCUCAAGGAGCUGACAUCUAAGCAGGAGGAGACAAUCGACAAAUACAGGAGAUGCAGGAGACUCUGGUUUGAUCCCUGUAUCAGGAAGAUCCCCUGGAGGAGGAAAUGGCAACCCAUUCCAAUAUUCUUGCCUGAGAAAUCCCAUGGACAGAGAGGAGCCUGGUGGGCUAUACAGUCCAUGGGGUGGAAAAAGCGUCUGAUAUUACUGAGCACACACGCACCCAUGCUCAGUUUUACUAGAUAUGAGCAAAGAGCUGCCAAAAUGCUCACACCAAUUUACACAUUCCCCAGUUAUACAUGAAGGUUCUGACUGCGCCACCCAUAUCCUUACCAACCCUUGACACAGUCUAGCAAUUUCAUUUCGAUCCCUCUCACUGGUGUGCGAAUUGUUAAUCACUGUGAGUUUAAGUUGUAUUUCCCUGAGUAAAUAAAGUUGAGU